CCGAGUUUUACAACUCCCAAACCCAAUGUGAACGUUACCAAAACUGUUGCCUCGGCGGGAUCUUCUGCCCCGGGUGCGUCGCAGCCCCGGACCAAGGCGCCAGCCGGAGGACCAACGCAAAACUCUAUAUUAGGUAUACCCCCUCGCGGGUUUUUUUUAUAAUCUGAGCCUUCUCGGCGCCUCUCGUAGGCGUUUCGAAAAUGAAUC
rnacentral:misc_RNA from 1 species